rnacentral:rRNA from 1 species
AGCGAACGCUGGCGGCAGGCCCAACACAUGCAAGUCGAACGAACCCUUCGGGGUUAGUGGCGGACGGGUGAGUAACACGUGGGAACGUGCCUUUAGGUUCGGAAUAACUCAGGGAAACUUGUGCUAAUACCGAAUGUGCCCUUCGGGGGAAAGAUUUAUCGCCUUUAGAGCGGCCCGCGUCUGAUUAGCUAGUUGGUGAGGUAAUGGCUAACCAAGGCUACGAUCAGUAGCUGGUCUGAGAGGAUGACCAGCCACAUUGGGACUGAGACACGGCCCAAACUCCUACGGGAGGCAGCAGUGGGGAAUCUUGCGCAAUGGGCGAAAGCCUGACGCAGCCAUGCCGCGUGUAUGAUGAAGGUCUUAGGAUUGUAAAAUCCUUUCACCGGUGAAGAUAAUGACUGUAGCCGGAGAAGAAGCCCCGGCUAACUUCGUGCCAGCAGCCGCCGUAACAC